rnacentral:rRNA from 1 species
UUAUAUAUGUAGCAAUACAUAUAUAACUUAGUGGCAGACAGGUGAGUAACACGUAGGUAACCUACCCUCGAGCGGGGGGCAACUCAGGGAAACUUGGGCUAAUACCGCAUAAGACCACGGACUGGGAUGUUUGUGGGAAAAGGAGCAAUUCACUUGGGGAUGGGCCUGCGGCCUAUCAGGUAGUUGGUGGGGUAAAGGCCUACCAAGCCAGAGACGGGUAGCCGGUCUGAGAGGACGAACGGCCACACUGGAACUGAGACACGGUCCAGACUCCUACGGGAGGCAGCAGUGGGGAAUUUUGCACAAUGGGCGAAAGCCUGAUGCAGCGACGCCGCGUGGAGGACGAAGGCCUUCGGG